CCUACGGGAGGCAGCAGUGAGGAAUAUUGGUCAAUGGGCGGAAGCCUGAACCAGCCAAGUAGCGUGCAGGAUGACGGCCCUACGGGUUGUAAACUGCUUUUAUACGGGAAUAACGCGCCUUACGUGUAGGGCUUUGCAUGUACCGUAUGAAUAAGGACCGGCUAAUUCCGUGCCAGCAGCCGCCGUAAGACGGAAGGUCCGGGCGUUAUUCGGAUGUAUUGGGGUUAAAGGGGGCGUAGGCCGCAUGGCAAGCGUGCUGUGAAAUGUCCGGGCUCAACCCGGGCCUUGCAGCGCGAACUGGCGUGCUUGAGUCCGCGGAAAGCAGGCGGAAUUCGUCGUGUAGCGGUGAAAUGCUUAGAUAUGACGAAGAACCCCGAUUGCGAAGGCAGCUUGCUGCAGCGGAACUGACGCUGAUGCUCGAAAGCGCGGGUAUCGAACAGGAUUAGAUACCCCUGUAGUC
rnacentral:rRNA from 1 species